rnacentral:tRNA from 1 species
GCCGGGAUGGUGGAAUAGGUAGACACAAGGGACUUAAAAUCCCUCGGCUGUAUAAGCCAUGCCGGUUCGAUUCCGGUUCCCGGCA